AGAGUUUGAUCCUGGCUCAGGACGAACGCUGGCGGCGUGCCUAAUACAUGCAAGUCGAACGCUUCUUUUUCCACCGGAGCUUGCUCCACCGGAAAAAGAGGAGUGGCGAACGGGUGAGUAACACGUGGGUAACCUGCCCAUCAGAAGGGGAUAACACUUGGAAACAGGUGCUAAUACCGUAUAACAAUCAAAACCGCAUGGUUUUGAUUUGAAAGGCGCUUUCGGGUGUCGCUGAUGGAUGGACCCGCGGUGCAUUAGCUAGUUGGUGAGGUAACGGCUCACCAAGGCCACGAUGCAUAGCCGACCUGAGAGGGUGAUCGGCCACAUUGGGACUGAGACACGGCCCAAACUCCUACGGGAGGCAGCAGUAGGGAAUCUUCGGCAAUGGACGAAAGUCUGACCGAGCAACGCCGCGUGAGUGAAGAAGGUUUUCGGAUCGUAAAACUCUGUUGUUAGAGAAGAACAAGGAUGAGAGUAACUGUUCAUCCCUUGACGGUAUCUAACCAGAAAGC
rnacentral:rRNA from 1 species